GGCGAGGGGAGUGAAAAAGAACCUGAAACCGUGUACGUACAAGCAGUGGGAGCACAGGUUUACCUGUGUGACUGCGUACCUUUUGUAUAAUGGGUCAGCGACUUAUAUUCUGUAGCAAGGUUAACCGAAUAGGGGAGCCGUAGGGAAACCGAGUCUUAACCGGGCGUUAAGUUGCAGGGUAUAGACCCGAAACCCGGUGAUCUAGCCAUGGGCAGGUUGAAGGUUGGGUAACACUAACUGGAGGACCGAACCGACUAAUGUUGAAAAA
rnacentral:rRNA from 2 species